UACGUAGGGCGCAAGCGUUGUCCGGAAUUAUUGGGCGUAAAGAGCUCGUAGGCGGCUUGUCACGUCGGGUGUGAAAGCCCGGGGCUUAACCCCGGGUCUGCAUUCGAUACGGGCAGGCUAGAGUGUGGUAGGGGAGAUCGGAAUUCCUGGUGUAGCGGUGAAAUGCGUAGAUAUCAGGAGGAACACCGGUGGUGUAGACGGCUCUCUGGACCGUAACUGACGCUGAGGCACGAAAGCGUGGGUAGCAAACAGG
rnacentral:rRNA from 1 species